rnacentral:rRNA from 1 species
UGGACAAUGGGCGAAAGCCUGAUCCAGCAAUGCCGCGUGAGUGAUGAAGGCCUUAGGGUUGUAAAGCUCUUUUACCCGGGAUGAUAAUGACAGUACCGGGAGAAUAAGCCCCGGCUAACUCCGUGCCAGCAGCCGCGGUAAUACGGAGGGGGCUAGCGUUGUUCGGAAUUACUGGGCGUAAAGCGCACGUAGGCGGCUUUGUAAGUUAGAGGUGAAAGCCCGGAGCUCAACUCCGGAACUGCCUUUAAGACUGCAUCGCUAGAACGUCGGAGAGGUGAGUGGAAUUCCGA